AAUUAUAGCAAAGAUGGCUUUGGAGAUGGAAUCGGUUCACUUCUUCUCUAAACCCAAGCAUAUUCCUAAAAUAAAAGGUUAAGAGAUUCUUGUGUCCCAUAUCAGAAGAGCCCUCUGGUGUGGGACAAAGAAAAACUAAUAUUUUUAUUUA